AUCCACAGCCAUAUCACCCUGCAGCCCGAGACCAGUUACUCACAGGGCUGAGACUGGUCAGUACCUGAAUGGGAGACCACAUGAGAAAACUAGGUUGCUGUUGGAA
rnacentral:rRNA from 1 species